rnacentral:rRNA from 1 species
UACGUAGGGUGCAAGCGUUAAUCGGAAUUACUGGGCGUAAAGCGUGCGCAGGCGGUUGUGCAAGACAGAUGUGAAAUGCCCGGGCUCAACCUGGGAACUGCAUUUGUGACUGCAUGGCUAGAGUUUGGCAGAGGGGGGUAGAAUUCCACGUGUAGCAGUGAAAUGCGUAGAUAUGUGGAGGAAUACCGAUGGCGAAGGCAGCCCCCUGGGUCAAGACUGACGCUCAUGCACGAAAGCGUGGGGAGCAAACAGG